rnacentral:rRNA from 1 species
GGUUCAGAACGUCGUGAGACAGUUCGGUCCCUAUCCGUCGCGGGCGUAGGAAAUUUGAGAGGAGCUGUCCUUAGUACGAGAGGACCGGGAUGGACUGACCUCUGGUGCACCAGUUGUUCCGCCAGGAGCAUAGCUGGGUAGCUAAGUCGGGAAGGGAUAAACGCUGAAAGCAUCUAAGCGUGAAGCCCCCCUCAAGAUGAGAUUUCCCAUAGCAUAAGCUAGUAAGACCCCUUGAAGAACACAAGGUUGAUAGGUCAGAGGUGUAAGUGUGGUAACAUAUUUAGCUGACUGAUACUAAUAGGUCGAGGGCUUGACCAAUAA